UACGUAGGGUGCAAGCGUUAAUCGGAAUUACUGGGCGUAAAGCGUGCGCAGGCGGCUCGGAAAGAAAGAUGUGAAAUCCCAGGGCUUAACCUUGGAAUGGCAUUUUUAACUCCCGAGCUAGAGUAUGUCAGAGGGGGGUAGAAUUCCACGUGUAGCAGUGAAAUGCGUAGAGAUGUGGAGGAAUACCGAUGGCGAAGGCAGCCCCCUGGGAUAAUACUGACGCUCAGGCACGAAGGCGUGGGGAGCAAACAGG
rnacentral:rRNA from 1 species